CAGAACAGCCGCGCGCGCGGCGGGGGCGGGAACGGGAGCGGCUUCUCGCGAGAGAGGGCGGGAGGCGGCGCGCGGGGCGGCCGUGAGGGGCGGCGGAGGGACCUCCCCGUUCCCCGCCCGUGGCGCUGCAGGCCGCGGACGCUCCCCUGUGACAGAGCCUCCCUGUCAGAGCAGAGCUUUGUGUUCCUCAGAGACAACGCUGACACCCCCCCACAUACACACAGCCGGGAGUGGGGAGUUUUGGGGCGGCCGCUCGGUGCUGCGCGGCGGGGCCGGUGUCGCAGCGAGCGGCCCGGUUUGUGAGGCCAAGCCUCGCACGGAGAUUGACGGGCUGAGUGGUUGUUGGGGAAAUCCAUCGUAUUUCAUCCUGUUUCAUCAGCGUCCCCCUGCCAGCCCCGGCUGUGCCUGCGCUCACGCAAGGUUAGCUUGUCCGUACAACCGAGUCCUUGAUGCUCUGUGCAAUACAAACUAUGAGCGUGUGGAUUUAAAAAUUAUUCAGAGUUUAAUAUUCGAGAUUUGUUAAAAAAUAAUGAGCAACCCCCCCUCCCCCCGCCCCAGCAAGUGUUGUUUGGGGCAAAAUAAUUUUAAAGUAGGUAGGAAGCCUUUCUAGGUCUCCAAAGGCAGGAUUGAGACACCGGUGAGCUUGGAGUGCAGAGGGCACGAACUGCCGAGCUAAUGGCAAACAGAGGCAGCUCAGGUUUCAAGGUUUACUGAGUCGAGUGUUGACUCUAUUUGCAAAAAAGACACUGUUACCUCAUAGCUGGCUGAUAAAUACGUCUCCUUACAAGCAAGUAAACAUUUUGGAAGACCUGAGUGACUCAUACUUUUCCUGUAGGGUAAGUGAGAAGAAAAUUAUUUGAAAGCUGUUUCUAUUUCUCUAAAAUACAUGCUAGAAAUGAGUGCAGAAUAAGAAGGGGUGAAUUGCUUCUGUCUGUGGGCAAGAAGGAUGAAGCAGUGGGACACCCUGAGACACCUUCCUCGCAUAAUCAGGCAAUAAAUGGUUGCAGCUGUGGGGUGUUUCCUGCAAAGUGGAGAAGGCUGCUUGCUACCUGGUGCUGUCCCUACUCCCACCACAUUUCAGGGAGAACAUAACCAGGGUGAGAAAAGCUUUCUGAAAACACGGCAGCUGCUGAGAAUGGAACUAUUCUCAACUGUUAAGAAAGUCACAAAAGAUGGAGUCCACCUGGUUUCCUUGCGAUUCAGACAGACUGAAGAGAGACUGUAUCCCCUCAAAAAAGCAGGUGGGGCAAUAUGCAGCAUUUACACCAAAACUGAAGUUUUUAAACCAUGUAGAAAACAGUGGAGAGAAGCAAAAUUUCCUACAGGAAGAACUCAGCAAAGAAACAGGGUUUGUGAUUGAUGGUCUGGCCUCGCCUGAAGAGGCCGAGGGAUACAGGAUUUGGCACACAGUCAUGGUCGGAGAGAUGGAUCACAGAUGGAUCGCCUUGGCUGGGUGGCAGUUGCCUUGUCCUUGCUUGCAGUGAGAGCAUUGUGGUGCAAGGAUAGAAUGUUCCUGUCAAUCCAGCAAAUGUUCCAGCGUGUCCUCUCUUUAAUUAGGCCUAGGAACACUGUUUUUCCCCCACAUCCAUAAAUUACUUAUUCCCUUGAAAUGUGACUUCUGUUUUUAAUCACCUAUGUAAACUGUACUAGAUACAGCCAUGCUAAGUUUAAUAAAUAGACGUUUUAUAUUUUAUUUUAUUUAUAUAAUGAAUAAAUAGGCAUUUUAUAUUUUAAUAAAUAGGCAUUGUAUCAAGCUGCUGAAAACCUGCUGGGCUGAAAGUGGAGCUGGGGGCAGCCAGGCUGUGUGGUGAGGGCUCAGAGUGCUCCUGUGCAGCUCAUGUCUUUUAGAGACAUUAUGGAAAGAAAUGGUGACAUUUUAGGCUCAAACGUUUCUGUGCUGGCAGUUAAUUCCUACUGCAUCUUGAGAUACUUGGGGUACGGUGUCUCUGUAAGCCACUUGUAAAUAUUUUAAAUACCUUCUCCUCUUUGCUGUGCGACUGCAGCCGACUGCCUGCCUUAUCCUGGGAGAUAAAGGCACGCUGGCUGCAGCGGGCGAUAAUGCAUCCCAGGCAGUUUGUGUUUCAUUGCACAAUCCAUUGUCUUGCAAGGUCCUUGGGGUGUGAUUAUCUUAAGGUUCAGCUUGAAGGUGCAGUGCUGUAACUACUAAAGUAAAACUGCAGUAGGGCAGAUUUCAAGGCAUAGAUCUUUUAUAAUAAAAAGUGUAUUUUGAUUAAUUUAGCACCUUCCCUGUCCAUAGUUCAGCGCUAUUUAAUCCCCAGAGCAGUGCCUGGUUUGUCUCCAGCUCCAGAGCAAGCAGAGGUAACCAGCCAAGAGCAAGCACCCCACAGCAAAGGACAUUGCAGCCAAGGCUGGCAAAUGCAGCUCCUGCUGGAAUGGCCGGGUGAUCAACGGCAGGGAAAAGCAUGGCUCCAGCUGCCCUCCAUGCCGUGCAGCUGAUGGCAGGGACUUUGUGCUGGCAUAAAAUACAUUGUGUUUCAAACUGUGUCAGAGUUUGAGUCCCUCACUGCAGCAUCUGAGUGGCGAUUUGAAAAACAUUUUGUUACAGUUCUUUACUGGUACCUCUGGAAUAAGUGUUAUAAUGUAUCUAGCAGUGCUGAGUUCCUAUCAGCAUGACCAGAAUGGGGAGGAAGUGAGUUUAAUUGCAGCCAGUGACGUUUCAGCAGCAGCAAGUCACGUACUGACUGCAUUAGGAGAACCCCAAAAGCACUUUAAGGCACUGUCUGUUCUUAGGCUGCACUAGAUCCCUCUGUGCACCCCAGCUUUGAAAGCCUCCUCAGGAACAGUGCAGAUUUGGGUGCUCCUGCACCAAGCCUGAAUCGUUGUCAAGGCAAGGGAAGGUGGCCAGGAAUAUGCAAAUUUAGUUGCUUCAGCAUUACCUAAGCCAAUGUCUUGCUAUUUAAGAAAGGUGUGUUAAGGGUAAAGGAGAUGUAAUUUGUCAAAGCAGGUGUCUCCUGAGUUAAGGGAAAGCUCAAGAUCUGGAUCUGACAGUGUGGGAAUCAGUAAAGAAACUUCAUUUAAGAUCAGCAUCAGCCCCACUUCUGCCUGAAUAACUGCUGGGGGAGGUUUUUUAUUUUCCAUUGGCAAAAUUUAGUGAGUGAUAAGCAAGAAUAACAAUAAAUUUUUACCUGCUUCAUUUGGGAGCUGGAUGAUUGCUACAGCACAGACAUGACUGAUACCAGGCUCCUUCCAGCUGCUGGGGGCAGGCUGUUUGUGUGCCUCAACGUUUCAGUGCUUCAGGGUCUUCAGACAGAAGUUAGAAGAACCCAUGCUAUCUCAGGAGUCCAAUGUGCAAGGGAGCUGCAUAGAAGUCCUCAGCAAGACUACAUCGGUCUGGUAAUCAUUUUAAGCUCAUUUUAUACAAACUUGGUGAAAAUAACACAUUACUACCAUUGAAUGUUGCAGAGAGCUCAUUACACAAUUGAGACUCAGUUUCACUGAGCAGCAGCAGCAACUGAGACAGAAGCAGAAUAGUUUUAUAAGUUUAUUGUAAAGACCUUUACAAUCUCAGUACAGAGAUAAGGAUAUAAAAUGAUGUUGUUUGGAAUAAUUAAGGCUGGUUGGUGGUCAUCCAAAUUUCACUGUUCAAUGGAACUCAAGCGAGAGCAACAGAUUUCUGACUGUACAUAUUUUUAUUUGUGUUCCAUCGUUACAGUGCGAUCACAAGUUAUUUCAAAGACUCAAUGCCUGUUUAUUAUAAAAUAAAGGACAUUAUUUACAUGAUGAAAGAAAAAUUUCAGCAUUUUAGUGGAAUGGAUGACUGAUACUGCAACAGGUUUAGUCCACGUAUUU